GCCCUCGUAGCUCAGGGGAUAGAGCACCGGCCUCCGGAGCCGGGUGCGCAGGUUCGAAUCCUGCCGGGGGCACCG
rnacentral:tRNA from 1 species